UACGGAGGGGGCUAGCGUUGUUCGGAAUUACUGGGCGUAAAGCGCGCGUAGGCGGACCUGCAAGUCGGGGGUGAAAGCCCGAGGCUCAACCUCGGAACUGCCUUCGAUACUGCGGGUCUCGAGUCCGGGAGAGGUGAGUGGAAUUCCUAGUGUAGAGGUGAAAUUCGUAGAUAUUAGGAAGAACCAGCCAGUGGCGAAGGCGGCUCCACUGGCCCGGUACUGACGCUGAGGCGCGAAAGCGUGGGGAGCGAACAGG
rnacentral:rRNA from 1 species